GAGACAGGCAGCCAAUCAGCGUCGGGUGUGGGAGCACGCGGGGCGGGGCCCACUACCCCCUGAGCGGCCCGCAGCUACCUCACCCGCCCCUCGGCGUGACGUCAGUGCUGUUAUGUCAUUGCCACCCCAAGCACCCACUCAAGGGCCCGCCCUGUUUCUAGGGGAGCCCAACGUGGAGACCAGACCCGAGGCAAAGCUCAGGGCUGCCGGUUUCUCAGGCUGGCUUGGAUCGCCUGUUCCCAGGGCAGGGAGACCCACAGGUGGGAGGAGGGCAGGGCCCCCCAUGCAUCCAAGGAGUCCUUUCAAGAGCUCCGGCUGAGGAACCGGCACCGCCGUCAGCACCUGGAAACCGGGGGAGCUGUGCAGGAUGCGAGGCUGUGGGGAUGGCGCUGCUCCAGCCUGCCCUCUUUAAGCAGGAACACAUGUUCAGUGCUUGGGGCUGCCAGCACUUUGCUAGCGGCCAGUUUUAGCCUCUGGCUCCUCACGGCCUCCUCCAGCUGUACAAACACCCUUGUGUCCCUAUGCGGACUAGAAGCAGCCAACUGAGCACUCCUUCCUUCUCCUGCUCAGCUGGCUGCAGCAUGGCCUUUUCCUUGCUGCCUCCAGGCAAUGCUGGUUGAAGCCAUACGUUGCCGGCAAACUUCUUGCGCACUCUAACCGCGCUUUCAGCAGCGUGAGAUGCCUGCACAGCAAGCAGUUGGUUUUCCAUGGAGAUGAUUCCUUCGCAGCUGAACGUGCCUGACCAAAGCGCAAUGGAUGUUGGAUGGAUGUCACGAGUGGAGGGGAAAGCUGGUUACAGGAGAGUGCCUCGAACAAUUUUGACCUAUAUUUCCUAUAACUGAGAACCCAGUGGCUGUCAUUUGAGGACAAUGUUCAUUUGCUAGGAGUUAUGGCAGUUUCAUAAGCUCCCAGGAAAGUAUACACCACAGAACUGCAAUUUACCUGCUCCAAAAUAUUUUAGUUGAUAAUAAGCUUAAAUAGCUCAAGAAUAAAACUGCUGACUCUCACUUCGGCUCCUGGCUGACAUUAUGAUUUAGGUGCAAUUACCCUGUUAACAGUGCCAUGAAAACUUGAAGAGUACUCCUGCCACAAGUUCAGGCAAUUAAUGGCUUGACAAAACAAGUCCCCAGCCACAAAAGUGGGCCACAAAGGUAAAUAACAUUUUUGUGGCUGGUUUCCAUUGCAUCUUAAAUUGGCAGGGUAGCCCUGCCAUGUGGGCUGAUGCUGGCUUCAUGGCAGGGCUUGCUUGACAGCUCCCCCAUGUCAGCAGGCUGAGAGUUUUGUGGUGAAUCCCUGCAUCCUGCUGUAUUCAGAUCCUGAGCUGAGGGGAGCUCAUCAGCUGGGCUGGGAUGCACACACGGGAACUUUGUGGCUGACAGGGAUAGUAAUGUGUUCUCCAGCAGUGCAUCGCUUUUUGUCUUUCAGAAACCUCCCCGUUUCAUCUUUUGUACACCUUUUAACUUCUGCAACAUAUACAUAUAAAGAAGUCUCCUUGACCACAUAUCCCUGAAUGACCCACAAGGCAGGUGGGAAAACACUGUUUGCAGCCAUGUUCUCCGUUUCUCCCCUGAUCAGUUACAACAGAGGUGUCAAAAUAUAUGGUGUGCGGACAGGAGCUAGCCUGUGGGACUGCUUAGGUGACGCCUGCCAGAGAAUCCAGGACCCUUGGGCCCUGGUGGACGUUGGAACAUAAAAGGGGGUGAGCUGUGCUUUAAUAAUUAGUUAGCUAUUUUGAGCAUCUCUGAAGACAGAAUCUUGUAACUUAUUUGUAACCCCUGUUAGUAAGCAAGACACAAGGGGACGUGGUUUCACAACUCAGACUUUAAAGGAAACAGUCUGGGACAGCACCGUGCAGGGGGCACGUAAGCAAGUGAAAUGACUGGACGCCAGUAUGGUACAGCGAGCAACUGCAAAAGUUGCCAGGAAACCAUGCAUACAUUUGUAGAACUUAAACUGAAUUUUGAAAUGUGAUUGGCUCAUUCAAAGGUGAUUAGUUCACUCUCAACACCAUAGCAACCCACCUUCAAUGAAAUAUAAGAAGCUUAAGCUUCAGAAGCAAGUUGGAAUCAUCAGAAAUUCACCUCACAGCACUCAAUCCCCAAGAUAUACUAGACGCCUGGUCAGCAGACCCUGGGAAUCCUAGCACUGAAGUCUUCCUAUCCUACUUGCAGCUGCAUUUGCGUGGCAUGUGACAUUGCUUAUUGGGCAAGUUUGUAGUUCGUUAAUAAAAUCAAGCCAAUUACUGGAAUGGUUCCUUGAUCUUAAACACUACUCCACCUACCAAUCCCAAAGUUAUUUCUGCUAUCCCUAACAGACAUGGCCAUUGGCAGCAGGUUGCCCCAGACACCUUGUUUACCCUCUGGCCGCUUGACCUAUCGCCGUUGCUGGACCCAGCUCCUCAACCACUGGCCCUGUCAAGGCCCCAUGCUGCAGCUGCCACGGGACACGUGGAGGGAGCCACCGUUGCACCUCAAACCUUGUACCAGAGACACAGCUGGCACUGCAGCCAUGUCUCAAGUCAAAGCCAAAGUAACUACAGCUGUAUGCCCCAGGUGGGAUCUAGCCAGAAAGCAGCACCAGGACAUAAGAUGAGUCUGAUACCCCUGAGUUAUACAAUCAAAUUCUAGGUAUGCAGACAGGACCUAGAAGUGGUCUAUACCAUGGCCUAUAAUCAGGACAAUAGAAAAAUUAUCAAAAAAUCCCCCUCAAAAUUCCCCCAACAUAAAAAGUUAUUUCUUGCACAAUGAAGCCAGAACUAAUAGAAACAGCCAGCAUACAUCCAGCUAGCCCAACAAGCAGGAUAAUAACAGUGAAAAGUUAGGAAAAAUAAGAGAGAUGUUACCACAGAACAAUAAAAAUGUGACCACUGAACUGUUCCUUCAUAUAAACAGAAUAUAUGUUGAAUUGUUUUCAAUCGUACAGGUUAUCCAGAAAGCAUUGACAAUAGACUCAUCUGUUGUCCAGAAAUUGUAUCCAAAAUAACAGCAACUGAACUCAGUAAUACUUGGAUAAGGAAUUCAGAUGGUCAGGUGGUAAAUUUGCAGAUUCUCUCUGAAGAGGGCUGAUACUGAAAUAGAGACACGUCACUUCUUCAACAGAAUGAAGCUCAACUGAGGGUACUGGACUUCAGAUUUAUCUGCCUGGAAAAUGGAAUUAUUUGAUCCAUCUGGCAAAGUAAGACUUGGAGGAAAGCAUAGCCCUUUCAUGAGACUGCCAAUACCACAAGAAAGGCAUUAGACUUUCUCCAUCAAUUAGAAUGGCUCAGAAACUACUGUCCAGACCACUUCCUUAAAAUAAAAAUGUAUUUAAGUGGUCAAAAGGCUUAUGACUGCAGAAGGAAAAAAAAGUAACCGUCUAUUUCAGGUAGAUUUAUUAUAAGCUUACCAAAGUUGAGGGCUGAUUUGCAGACCACUUUACCAGGCAGCAAUCUGUUGGGGGCUCAUCAGUUGGAAGCAUAAGAGUAAAAGAAGGACCUGUACAAACUAGUUGAUCACGGAUGACUAUAAGCUAAUGUGAUGAAUAGACAAAUAUGAUCCAAGAUGAGGUGAGACCUCAUUGGGAACAAUAUGUCCAAAUCUGGUUCCUCAUUCAAGCAUGUGAACUGUGUAGAAAAGGGCUAUUAGAAUGACCAGGAGAAUAUUGUAAUGAGAAGAAACACAGUUGUAGAUGAGAAGACUUAAAAACAAAAAAAAACAAAAAACAAAAAAAACGAACAUGGCUCACUUAACCUAAAAUAAAAGAUAUGAUUGGGGAGUUUCAUAAAAGUUUGAUUGGGCUGACUUGCAGGCUGGUUUUGCUCCCUUUGCUCCUCAGUCAGUCCUCUAUACACAAACACAAUCUUUGUAUUUAAAUAAAAAAGCAAGCAAAUAAAAUGGUCAGCCCUUCUCUGGGUGAUAGCAGAAGCUUUUUAGCUCUGGCAGUGUACUGUCUAGUAGUCCUGGUAGCGAGCUUACCUGGAUUCCAGCCUGCCUCCUAACCACAAGCUGCUCCUUCCCCCAGCUUGCCACUCUCUGUUCUCUACCUUGGGGUUUUUAACUGCUAGUGGGAUAUGCCCCCUCAUUAGAUAACAACCUGCUGUGGGUUCAGUCUACAACAAGGCUGUCUACUCCCUCUUAAGCUGCAUACAGGCACUCAUUUCUACUGGAAAUGAGAAAUCCUUCCAGGAGAGGAAGCAGUACAAACAUUCAGUCUGCAGCCACUCCCUCUUGCCUACUCUCCAUGCCUUCCCAAAUCUAGGAUAUAAUCCUGAUCUGGGGAAGGCAAAGGGAGCAGUGCCUGCUCCACCUCUCCUAAUCCUCGGGGAGAGUGGAGCAGCAAGGAAAGACUCCCUGCAUCUGCCCCAGAUCAAGUUCAGGGGAACAGGACUGAGAAGCAGCUGCCUCCACUUCAUGCUCAGUCUAUGGGAGCGGAGAGAAACUGCUGCAAAGCAGGGCAGUGUCUAGCUUGCAGAAGAGGCAGGGAGCAGCAGCUCUUCUCCUCUCCUGAACCAGUCUGAGAGGAAAAGAAAUAGUGAGGCAUAGCCCCCAGCUCCUUCCCCAAGCUGGGUACUUUCCUGGCUUGGAUAAGGGGCUAGAGGAGGAAGGAAAUGGGAAGGAGGAGGAACUAGGAAACAGUGACACUCCCUGAACUCGGCUUCUGCAAGCCAAGCAGAGGAAGAAAUGGGGUAAAGCCCCUGCCCACUUUUAAAGAGCAGGGUAGCCCUCAUCUCAGGAAGGUAUAGGAGCCUUUUCCCCUUCACCUGGUCUCCUGGUCCUGGAGACAGGGGAAAGUAUCCAGACAUUCAGUCUCCUGGGAACAACUUAACCCUGAUUGUUCCAGGGUUACUUUUCUCCCAGAGCAGCCAUUUUUGCUUCACGAGACAAAAAAACUGAUUGUCUGUACACUUCUGGUUUCUACCAGGAGAAGAGUGAUUCUCCAUGUAGA